UGGUGACGCCUUUCAUCGCCUCGCCCAUGGCUUGUGUUGAUUUUAGAGUCUGAAUUCUGAGAGAUACACCUUGAAGUUGAGAUUUGAGUGCAUAAAAUUUGGUAAUCUGAUGCCGUGUUCGAAUAAGAUCUUUGGCCAUUACUUUUACAGCUCCCAUUUGCCCUUGUUUGGCGGUUUUCUUGAUCUCCACAAUCAACUUCUUCUCUUGAUUCUGCAGCCCCUGCCUCUCCCUCUCAAUGUCUCUGAUAGAUCUAUCAAGCAUCCGCUUGUUCUCGCGCAGUGCCUCUG
rnacentral:misc_RNA from 1 species